GAUGAACGCUGGCGGCGUGCCUAAUACAUGCAAGUCGAGCGAACAGAUGAGGAGCUUGCUCCUCUGACGUUAGCGGCGGACGGGUGAGUAACACGUGGAUAACCUACCUAUAAGACUGGGAUAACUUCGGGAAACCGGAGCUAAUACCGGAUAAUAUAUUGAACCGCAUGGUUCAAUAGUGAAAGACGGUUUUGCUGUCACUUAUAGAUGGAUCCGCGCCGCAUUAGCUAGUUGGUAAGGUAACGGCUUACCAAGGCAACGAUGCGUAGCCGACCUGAGAGGGCGAUCGGCCACACUGGAACUGAGACACGGUCCAGACUCCUACGGGAGGCAGCAGUAGGGAAUCUUCCGCAAUGGGCGAAAGCCUGACGGAGCAACGCCGCGUGAGUGAUGAAGGUCUUCGGAUCGUAAAACUCUGUUAUUAGGGAAGAACAAAUGUGUAAGUAACUAUGCACGUCUUGACGGUACCUAAUCAGAAAGCCACGGCUAACUACGUG
rnacentral:rRNA from 1 species